rnacentral:lncRNA from 1 species
UGAAAUCGAAAGGUGGUCCAAUAUGAAGGUGGUGUAGGUCUUUGGGUCCUCAUAAAUAAAGUUAGGUCGCCGUUAUUAAAACAACUGCACAUUGUCAUUUUUUGUUUUCUUUCUUUUUAAUUCUGUUUUAGUUGACGACAAAAAAAAAAAAAAAAAAAAAAAAAAAAUUCUGUUUUUUUUUUAGUAUUUUUUUAAAAAAACAAUAAUUCGAGGUGUCAUUUUUUUUGGCCAAUUUUCUAAAAGGUAGGAAUUUAACUAGUCGGCUCAAAAAUAUAAGCUUCUAACUAAAACAGUCGACCAAACUAUUGUAAUACGAGGAAUAAAAC